rnacentral:siRNA from 1 species
UUGUUGGGCCUUUGAACAGUGA